AGUACUAAGCCACUUUUGGGGUCGUAUUUGAUUUUCUGGCCCCAUGCCUGAAACUUAUAUUUGACCCAUGCGGUGCAGCAGUGGCCAUUGCUGGUCUGAU
rnacentral:lncRNA from 1 species